rnacentral:rRNA from 1 species
GAGUGAACGCUGGCGGUAGGCCUAACACAUGCAAGUCGAAUGGCAGCACAGUAAGAGCUUGCUCUUACGGGUGGCGAGUGGCGGACGGGUGAGGAAUACAUCGGAAUCUACUUUUUCGUGGGGGAUAACGUAGGGAAACUUACGCUAAUACCGCAUACGACCUACGGGUGAAAGCAGGGGAUCUUCGGACCUUGCGCGAUUGAAUGAGCCGAUGUCGGAUUAGCUAGUUGGCGGGGUAAAGGCCCACCAAGGCGACGAUCCGUAGCUGGUCUGAGAGGAUGAUCAGCCACACUGGAACUGAGACACGGUCCAGACUCCUACGGGAGGCAGCAGUGGGGAAUAUUGGACAAUGGGCGCAAGCCUGAUCCAGCCAUACCGCGUGGGUGAAGAAGGCCUUCGGGUUGUAAAGCCCUUUUGUUGGGAAAGAAAAGCAGCAGGUUAAUACCCCGCUGUUCUGACGGUACCCAAAGAAUAAGCACCGGCUAACUUCGUG